rnacentral:rRNA from 2 species
UAUCCUGGACUUGACAUAGUAAGAAUGAUUUAGAGAUAGAUUAGUGUCUGCUUGCAGAAACUUGCAUACAGGUGCUGCACGGCUGUCGUCAGCUCGUGUCGUGAGAUGUUGGGUUAAGUCCCGCAACGAGCGCAACCCUCGUCCUUAGUUGCUAACAGUUCGGCUGAGAACUCUAAGGAGACUGCCUACGCAAGUAGGAGGAAGGUGAGGAUGACGUCAAGUCAUCAUGGCCCUUACGUCCAGGGCUACACACGUGCUACAAUGGGGUAUACAAAGAGCAGCAAUACGGUGACGUGGAGCAAAUCUCAAAAAUGCCUCCCAGUUCGGAUUGUAGUCUGCAACUCGACUACAUGAAGUUGGAAUCGCUAGUAAUCGUAGAUCAGCUAUGCUACGGUGAAUAC